GACUCAAUUAUAGGUGAAAGUUAAAAUUUCAUUAUUUAAAAAUUGUUUUUUUCAAAUGUUUUAUAUAUAUAAAUUAUUAUUUUGAUCAAAAUUUAUAAUGUUAAUACUGUAUUGAAUUUGUAAAUAUGGGGUUUAUUGUCUGAAGCAUUGUAAUAUUUCAAUCUAAAAAUUAUUAAAAGAAGAAAAAUAAUUUUGCUGCCUGUGUACCCGGAGCCGGAUAUGAUCCGACGGGACCGAUUGCAUCCGUUCCGGGCCUGCACUCGAGGGUCCCCCACCUUGAGAGAAAAUGAAAUUGUGGAAAGGCUAAUAAACAAAGAACAACGAUUUAGAUUUACUAUUAUGGUUGGACUUUUACAUCUCAGUCUUCAAACAUCUAAUUUUUGUAGAUCCACAAAAAGAAAAAUUUUUCUUGGAAAAAUUGAAUGUGAAUGAAUCGAUUUUAUUUUAUCUCUUGAACAUGUGGGAAAAAAUUCUCACAUAUGAGUCUUUUUUUUUUUGUUUCCUUACAUAUGUGUCCUUUCCUUGAACAUGUGGG
rnacentral:lncRNA from 1 species